UACCGUAUAUACUCGUGUAUAAGUCGAUCUCAUGUAUAAGUCGAGUGCAGUUUUGUGACCAACAAUUGUGAAAUAUGCUAUGCCUCGUGGAUAAGUCGAGGGUAAAUCUUGGGGCUAUGAAAUUCUGUGAUUUUUUUUCUGCAUUAUAUAUACACACACUCAUACAAACACACACUCUGCAUUAUAUACACACACUCUGUGUAUAUAAUGCAGAGUGUGUGUUUGUGUAGUGUGUGUGAACUGGGUGGGG